rfam:Schistosoma mansoni strain Puerto Rico chromosome 1, complete genome
AUUCAGCUGACGAGUCUCAAAUAGGACGAAACGCGCGUUGUAGAU